rnacentral:lncRNA from 1 species
UGAGUGGGGAGGGCUGACUGAGCAACAACAUCAGAGGAAGACAUUCAAGAUAUUUUCGAAGGAAGCUUCUAGGUUUUGGCGAGAAGAUAAAUAAGAGAGCUUGUUGGUGUAGCUUGAUUCCAUUUUCAAUGCUCUCCUAUUUAUAGAGUUUGAGGUGUUUCUUCGGUUUUGAUAUGAUGCUUCGAUUGUAAAGAAAGGUAGACAGAGAGUUCGUGGGAGUGAAUGGCUUUAAUGAAAACUUAAGAUUCCAUUGUCUAUGUUAAGAGAGAAACGUUGAACAGAGGGUAAGCAAGAGACGGAGAAAAAGAGAUAGGGGAAAGUAGAAAGAUGAG